GGGUGAGUAACACGUGAGUAACCUGCCUUUCAGAGGGGGACAACAUUUGGAAACGAAUGCUAAUACCGCAUAAGACCACGGUACCGCAUGGUAGAGAGGUCAAAGGAGAAAUCCGCUGAAAGAUGGGCUCGCGUCCGAUUAGGUAGUUGGUGAGGUAACGGCCCACCAAGCCGACGAUCGGUAGCCGGACUGAGAGGUUGAACGGCCACAUUGGGACUGAGACACGGCCCAGACUCCUACGGGAGGCAGCAGUGGGGGAUAUUGCACAAUGGGGGAAACCCUGAUGCAGCGACGCCGCGUGGAGGAAGAAGGUCUUCGGAUUGUAAACUCCUGUCCGAGGGGACGAUAAUGACGGUACCCUUGGAGGAAGCACCGGCUAACUACGUGCCAGCAGCCGCGGUAAAACGUAGGGUGCAAGCGUUGUCCGGAAUUACUGGGUGUAAAGGGAGCGCAGGCGGACUGUCAAGUUGGGAGUGAAAACUACGGGCUCAACCCGUAACUUGCUUUCAAAACUGGCGGUCUUGAGUGGUGUAGAGGUAGGCGGAAUUCCCGGUGUAGCGGUGGAAUGCGUAGAUAUCGGGAGGAACACCAGUGGCGAAGGCGGCCUACUGGGCACUAACUGACGCUGAGGCUCGAAAGCAUGGGUAGCAAACAGGAUUAGAUACCCUGGUAGUCCAUGCCGUAAACGAUGAAAGGUAGGUGUGGGGG
rnacentral:rRNA from 1 species